AAACGUUGAACUCAUGUUUCUCGUCUAUUUUAAGCGGCUUAAUUCAAAAAUGUUUUUAACUUCAGUAAUGAGCUGAUUAUUUUGGUGCCUGCAAUCUAGAACCACAGAAUGCUUACCUGAUUCAUAAGGAGAUCUCAUUUUCUGUUAGUCAACCUCUCCUCCGCAACAGUCAUUUCUCUAAACCGAUACAAGAAAUACAACACUACGACGUGCUCUCUCUGGCUGUGGUGCAGGAAACAUAAAGAGGGAAGUUGGUCCAGGUCUCAUAAUGAGGGAUGUUUCAAUCAUACCUCCGAAUUCCCAGUGUGUGCUCUACCAUGAUCUGAAUUUACAGCUAUCUUUUGGAGAGUCGCUUCUCGUUAUGGGUCCCUCUGGAUGUGGUAAAUCCUCAUUGCUACGAGCAGUUGCAGGUCUGUGGAGCCGGGGAACUGGCAGCAUUCAGAGUCCACUCAGUAGUGAUACCUUCUUCCUGCCCCAGAAACCAUACAUGCCGUUAGGAUCUCUAC
rnacentral:lncRNA from 1 species